rnacentral:lncRNA from 1 species
AGGUUACGUCAGCGGCGGACGGCAAGGCGGGGAGAGGGGCAGCCCGCUCGCGGCCCUCCCGCCUGGCUCUCGCCUCGGCCUGCGGCCGGGAUCCUCCGCCCGGGUCGCGCAGCGGAGGCCGAGGGCUGGGACGGGCGGCUGGGAAGUGGGAAAGGGAGCUCCUUUUGUCUUCUCUUCCCAUCCCCCAGGUUUGGGAAAGUUUUCCUUUUGGGAAAGCCCCUCUCUUCAGCCUGCUGGCGGGUGUCGGAUUGGUUAGCGACCACCGGCCCCCGCCUCCCCCAACAGGAUUCUCCUUUGGGCCACAGGUCUUCCGGAAGUUGCCAAACCCCGGUAGCGGCAGCGUCCGGCUGGGGGCUUUAUUAGGGGGCACCGGGGUCUGCUUUCCGACUCCCUUCCGACUCCGCGCCUGCGCAGGAAGCGAUUUGGGGAGUGUUGUGAAUUCCGAGGGCUCCACACUUAAGAGGUUGUACACUCACCUGUCUACCUGGACUCCAAUUUCCAUAUUUCCAGCCACUUGAGGACUGAGAGGUGGAUGAUAAACCCUGUCAUAGUGGAGCAAGUUCAGGUGUUUAACCGCUGUUAUGGGGGAUCUGCCUUUUCUCCCUCUUCUUUCUUACUUCCAUAAGUAUGUAUGUGCAGAGAUUGAAAAAUAACCUUGAGAGAGUCCAUCCAUCUAACUCCAGGCAGAAUAGUUGCCUACUGCCCCAACCCCACCAAAUGUUCCAGCACCUCUGAUAUUACCUCACAUGGCAAGAGGGCUUUGAAGAUGUGAUUGAGUCAAGGAUCUUGAAUGGGGAGAUUAUCCUGAAUUAUUCAGCUGGACCCAGUGUAAUCACAAAGGUUUUUCAAAGAUGGAAGAGAGGCAGAAGAGCCAGAAAAGGAUAUGUGACAAUGGAGUCAGUGUCAGAGUUGGAGUGACGUGAUGUGAGAAGGAUUCAACCUGCUGUUUCUGGCUUUGAGGAUGAAAGAAGGGGCCAUGAGCCAAGCAAUACAGGUGGCUUCUUUCAAGAAGUUGGAAAAGUGGUAAUAUUUUAUGUUAUUUUGGUUUGAUUUUUGUUUGUGGCAUAUGGCUCUGCUGUCCUGUGACUCUAAGUAGAAGAGAAAAUAGUGCCAAUAAUUCUUCAUGGAGAUGCACCUCUCUCAAGUCUUGAACAAUGUUUGAGAUUUCCCCAGGCCACCAUCACUGGAUUUGGCUAUUUGACUUGCUGUAGUCAAUGGAAUGUGAGUGAAAAGUGACUCUGUACCAGUGGGGAGGCAAAGCCUUAAAAGACCCAGCAAAUUUCUUCCAGCCCUUUUGUGCUUCUGCCAAAAGAAUACUGUGAGCAAUCAGUGCCCUUAAGCCUGGGCCUCAGAACGAGAGAUAUGGAGCAAACCUGAACCUGAACAGCAGCCUACAAUCAAGCCAGGAUGACCCUGCAAAGCCCAGCCAACGAUAGCAAAGCCACAGCAGACUUGUAGACCAAUGAGCAUGAAAUAAAUUGCAUUGAAAGCUACUGAGAUUGGAGGAAUAAUUUUUAUGCAGGAUUACUGCAGUGAACCUGAUUGAUACAGGAGCUACUGCAAUAAUCCAGGGAAAGAGGGGAUGAUGAGCUGAAGUAAACUAGGAUGGUUGCGAUCGGAUUAGAGUCUGUAUAUACAUUUGAGGACAAGAUUUGAAAGAAUUUGCUGAUGGUUUAGCUAUUAAGUGUGAAAGAGAAAUUUUGAAAUUUUGGUCCAAACAAUGGGAAUGAUUGAGUUGCCAUUUACUGACACGGGGAACAUGAAAGAAGGGGCAGGUUUACUUGAUUCAGGGCAUGCAGAGGAGAGCAGAGUUAAACUUUAUAUAUGUUAAGUUUCAUAUGCGUCUUAUAUUUGGAAGUAGAGGUAUCUUCCUAUAUUUGUAAAAAGAGGUAUCCAGCAAGUAAUUUGACAUUUAAAAAAGAUUUCUGGAGAUCAUUUCUGCUCUGGCUAUAAUGGGAUGACA